GAUGAACGCUGGCGGCGUGCCUAAUACAUGCAAGUCGAGCGAAUGGAUUAAGAGCUUGCUCUUAUGAAGUUAGCGGCGGACGGGUGAGUAACACGUGGGUAACCUGCCCAUAAGACUGGGAUAACUCCGGGAAACCGGGGCUAAUACCGGAUAACAUUUUGAACCGCAUGGUUCGAAAUUGAAAGGCGGCUUCGGCUGUCACUGCUGGAUGGAACCGCGUCGCAUUAGCUAGUUGGUGAGGUAACGGCUAACCAAGGCAACGAUGCGUAGCCGACCUGAGAGGGUGAUCGGCCACACUGGGACUGAGACACGGCCCAGACUCCUACGGGAGGCGGCAGUAGGGAAUCUUCCGCAAUGGACGAAAGUCUGACGGAGCAACGCCGCGUGAGUGAUGAAGGCUUUCGGGUCGUAAAACCCUGUUGUUAGGGAAGAACAAGUGCUAGUUGAAUAAGCUGGCACCUUGACGGUACCUAACCAGAAAGCCACGGCUAACUACGUGCCAGCCGCCGCGGUAA
rnacentral:rRNA from 1 species